ensembl:lncRNA
AAAUAAUAUGCAAUGUUAUGAUUGUAAAUUUUAAAGUCUAGUGAUCUCAUUCAGAUGUAGUUUCCAUGUUCUUUGUGGUGCUGACAAUGACAAUGGCAGUAAAGUCUAAUGAUCUCAUUCGGAUUAGUUUACAUGUUCGUUGUGGUGCUGACAGUGACCUACAGUAGUUUAUUUUUGUUUCAGUGUUUUCAUCUAAGCAUAUAGUAAACAAAAGCACAGAACCAAAUAGCAAGGAGCAGAUAGAGAAGCAGCAGACAUCAUCAAAUCAGGAGCUUGCAACACACAGCAUGGACAACUGGAGUAGCCAGAGUAAGAGAGCAAACAAAGGGUAACUUCAUCAAACUGGUAUAAUGUCUGUUACAUAUGUGUGGUGGUUUGAGUAAAAACAGCCCCUGUACUCUCAUAUACUUAUAUAUUUGAAUGCCUGCUCACCAGGAGGUAGAACUGUUAGAAAGGAUUACAAGGAGUAGGAGGUGUGGCCUUGUUGGAGGAGGUGUGGCCUUGUUGGAGGAGGUGUGGCCUUGUUGGAAGAGGUGUGGUCUUGUUGGAGGAGGUGUGGCCUUGUUGGAGGAGGUGUGGCCUUGUUGGAAGAGGUGUGGUCUUGUUUGAGGGAGGUCACCAGGGGUGAGCUUUGAGGUUUAAAAAACCCACCCAAGGCUCAGCCUCUUUCCUGACCUAUGGAUCAGGAUGUAGUCCUCAGGCACCCCACAUUCCUGUGCCAUGCACACUGCCACACUCCCCACCAUGAUGAUAAUGAACUAAACCUCUGAAACGGUAAGCUAGUCUCUAGUUAAAUGAUUUCUUUUAUAAACUUUAUAAAAACACAUAUUGGUCAUGAUGUCUCUUCACACAGUAGAACACUAAGACCAUAUAGCAUACAUUUCAGUAUAACAUCCAUUACAUAUACCAUAGCAUACAGUUUACCAGUAGAGCAUUAUUACACAUGUCAUAGAGUUUACUGGUGUUACUAUGUCAUUACACAUAGCAUUCAGUUUACAAAGUUCGGGUUUCUGGUUGAUAGAUUUUAACAUAGUCACAUAAUUAUGUAAUAUUCUGCAAGGAAUUCUGAGAUUUUCUUACCACCUCCAAAAGAAAUCCUGUUGCCAUGGCCAGUUUCCGCACACAUGCCUCAGUCCUCUACCCUAAGCAGCCAGGAGCCUGUGUUCUCUCUCUCUCUCUCUCUCUCUCUCUCUCUCUCUCUCUCUCUCUCUCUCUGUUGUGCACAGCCCUGUGACCCUGUGGCUCGUGGGUUUCGCUCCGCCCAUUUCCACGGCUCACCCGUGCUGUAGAGCACAUCAGGUCCUCAUCUUGUCCACCUACUUGGCAACUGAUGACAACUCGGGCUGAUUUCAGAUUUUAGUUGGAGUAGCAUUGCUUCUGUUGUUUGUAAGGAGUUUGAAGGGUGGGGUGAGUCCUCUUUGUGACAUGUUUUCUCCUAGUCGUGGCUUCUCUCCCCAACUUGUGCUGUAAUUGGGAAAGGAGCUCCUCACUUUAAUGACGUUUUAAAAUCAUUUUCUCAUAGAAGAAGACAAUAUGCACUGUAUGUUUUGAGGCUUCCAGGCUCCAAAAAUAUUGCUAACCCAGGCUCACACUGGCUUUGCCCUUGGACUCCUUUUCUUCUCAGGCAACACCAGCCUGCCGGUCCGCCCUGUAUUAAUGUGUGAGCGGCGUGCGAGGCAGGAGUUAGGUCUUAGUUCCCAGUGUCUGUUCACCCCAGCAGCACUUUCGAAGACGGUUUCCCCUGCUGACCUUUGUGAGCCUCACUGGUGAUGUAUGCAUAGGCCUGUUCCACACUCCCACCAUGGUUUUGUCUAUCUCUCCUUGUAGUUUUAUUGAUUUUUACUCUAGCUUGAAGCUGUGUUACUUAGUACAUAGACAUUUCAGGUUAUUGUAUCUUCUUCAUAAGUUCACCUUUAUCACUGGGAAAUGACUUUAUCCCUGGCGGUGUUCUCUGUGUAGCUUUGAGUCACCCUGGCUUUCUGCGACUCCUGUUGGUUUCCACUUUAAAUGUGUGUGUGCGUGUGUGUGUGUGUGUGUGUGUGUGUGUGUGUGUGUGUUCGAGUGUGUUUCUUGUGAGCAGCACACUGUUGGGUCUUGGCAUUUUAGCUGGAAUGUUUGGGGCCUUUGUGUUGUGUGUCUUCACUGGUGUGAAAGCUGAAAGUAUUUGUUAUAACUCUCUUCUCUUUGGGUCUUUAUUGGCCUUUUCUUGGUUUAAUAGAAUUUUGUAUGAAUUCAGUUUGUCUUAAUAGUUUAUUAGUUAUAAUUUGUUGUUUUGCUAUUUUAGUGGCAUCUCAG